rnacentral:piRNA from 1 species
UAUUUAUUGUGAAGAUUAAGA